rnacentral:rRNA from 1 species
UACAGAGGGUGCGAGCGUUAAUCGGAAUUACUGGGCGUAAAGCGCGUGUAGGCGGCGAUGCAAGUCGGAUGUGAAAGCCCAUGGCUCAACCAUGGAAGUGCACCCGAAACUGCGUCGCUAGAGUCUCGGAGAGGAAGGUGGAAUGCUUGGUGUAGAGGUGAAAUUCGUAGAUAUCGUGAGGAAUACCAGAGGCGAAGGCGGCUACCUGGACAAUUGCUGACGCUCAGGCACGAAAGCGUGGGGAGCAAAAGGG